rnacentral:sRNA from 1 species
GUGGUGGCUCACGCCUGUAAUGGGAGGCUGAGGCGGGCAGAUCACCUGAGGUUAGGAGUUCAAGACCAUCCUGGCCAACAUGGUGAAACCCUGUCUUUACAAAAAUACAAAAAUUAGCCACGUGUGGUAGUGGGCGCCUGUAAUCCCAGCUACUCAGGAGGCUGCGGCAGGAGAAUCACUUGAACCCAGGAAGCGGAGGUUGGAGUGAGCUGAGAUGGCGCCAUUGCACUGCAGCCUGGGCGACAGAGCGAGACUCCGUCUCAAAAAAAAAAAAGUGGAGAAUUUGAGACUUACUGAAAUUACCUAGGAAGAACAACAAACGACUUGAGAUCUUUGAAUGCCAUGGCCCUCGGGCAGUCAGCUGUCUUGCUACAGCUCAGGAAGGUGCCCGAAAACUGCUGGUCGUGGGGUCUUAUGACUGCACAAUUAGUGUACGCGAUGCCCGGAAUGGACUGCUCCUCAGAACUCUGGAGGGCCAUAGCAAAACCAUUCUUUGCAUGAAGGUGGUGAAUGAUCUCGUGUUCAGUGGCUCCAGUGAUCAGUCAGUCCAUGCCCACAACAUUCACACUGGUGAGCUCGUGCGGAUCUAUAAAGGUCACAAUCAUGCAGUGACUGUGGUGAAUAUCCUAGGAAA